GUAGGUGGCAAGCGUUGUCCGGAAUUAUUGGGCGUAAAGCGCGCGCAGGCGGUCCUUUAAGUCUGAUGUGAAAGCCCACGGCUCAACCGUGGAGGGUCAUUGGAAGCUGGGGGACUUGAGUACAGAAGAGGAAAGCGGAAUUCCAAGUGUAGCGGUGAAAUGCGUAGAGAUUUGGAGGAACACCAGUGGCGAAGGCGGCUUUCUGGUCUGUAACUGACGCUGAGGCGCGAAAGCGUGGGGAGCAAACAGGAUUAGAUACCCUGGUAGUCCACGCCGUAAACGAUGAGUGCUAAGUGUUAGGGGGUUUCCGCCCCUUACGUGCUGCAGCUAACGCAUUAAGCACUCCGCCUGGGGAGUACGGCCGCAAAGGCUG
rnacentral:rRNA from 1 species